rnacentral:rRNA from 1 species
CACCAGACUCCUACGGGAGGCAGCAGUGGGGAAUAUUGCACAAUGGGGGAAACCCUGAUGCAGCGACGCCGCGUGAGUGAAGAAGUAUUUCGGUAUGUAAAGCUCUAUCAGCAGGGAAGAAAAUGACGGUACCUGAUUAAGAAGCCCCGGCUAACUACGUGCCAGCAGCCGCGGUAAUACGUAGGGGGCAAGCGUUAUCCGGAUUUACUGGGUGUAAAGGGAGCGUAGACGGUGAUGCAAGUCAGAAGUGAAAGCCCGGGGCUCAACUCCGGGACUGCUUUUGAAACUGUGUAACUGGAGUGCAGGAGAGGUAAGCGGAAUUCCUGGUGUAGCGGUGAAAUGCGUAGAUAUCAGGAGGAACACCAGUGGCGAAGGCGGCUUGCUGGACUGUAACUGACGUUGAGGCUCGAAAGCGUGGGGAGCAAACAGGAUUAGAUACCCUAGUA